rnacentral:rRNA from 1 species
CCUACGGGAGGCAGCAGUCGAGAAUCAUUCACAAUGGGGGAAACCCUGAUGGUGCGACGCCGCGUGGGGGAAUGAAGGUCUUCGGAUUGUAAACCCCUGUCAUGUGGGAGCAAAUUAAAAAGAUAGUACCACAAGAGGAAGAGACGGCUAACUCUGUGCCAGCAGCCGCGGUACUACAGAGGUCUCAAGCGUUGUUCGGAAGCACUGGGCGUAAAGCGUGCGUAGGCUGUUUCGUAAGUCGUGUGUGAAAGGCGCGGGCUCAACCCGCGGACGGCACAUGAUACUGCGAGACUAGAGUAAUGGAGGGGGAACCGGAAUUCUCGGUGUAGCAGUGAAAUGCGUAGAUAUCGAGAGGAACACUCGUGGCGAAGGCGGGUUCCUGGACAUUAACUGACGCUGAGGCACGAAGGCCAGGGGAGCGAAAGGGAUUAGAUACCCCAGUAGUC